GGGGUUGUGGCUCAGUGGUAGAGCGCUCACCUAGCAUGUGUGAGGCCCUUGGUUCAAUCCUCAGCACCA
rfam:Ictidomys tridecemlineatus contig034858, whole genome shotgun sequence.